rnacentral:rRNA from 1 species
AUUGAACGCUGGCGGCAGGCCUAACACAUGCAAGUCGAGCGAGCGGCGGACGGGUGAGUAAUGUCUGGGAAACUGCCUGAUGGAGGGGGAUCACUACUGGAAACGGCAGCUAAUACCGUAUACCAUCAGAUGUGCCCAGAUGGGAUUAGCUGGUAGGUGGGGUAACGGCUAACCUAGGCGACGAUCCCUAGCUGGUCUGAGCGGAUGACCAGCAACACUGGGACUGAGACACGGUGCAGAUUCCGACGGGAGGCAGCAGUGGGGAAUAUUGCCCAAUGGGCGCAAGCCUGAUGCAGCCAUGCCGCGUGUGUGAAGAAGGCCUUCGGGUUGUAAAGCACUUUCGGCGGGGAGGCGUUACCCGCAGAAGAAGCACCGGCUAACUCCGUGCCAGCAGCCGCGGUAAUUC